GUAGGUGAACCUGCGGAAGGAUCAUUAACACGUGAUACUCACGUAUUAACAACCCACCGAGAACUGUUAUUCUGUCCUAUUGUUGAUUGUAAGUAGACGAACUGAGGGAAUGCUAUGGGUCGCCUUAACUGUACACCCUAACUCACUCGUCGUUCUUAGGUCCGCCCUGGAGCUUGCACCAACAAAUAGCUGAUGAAUUACGACUGCUUAUUAAGCCUGUAGCAUAGCUUGCAGCUCGUAGUGAAAUUAU
rnacentral:misc_RNA from 1 species